rnacentral:lncRNA from 1 species
CACACAGCCAGUAAUAAUGAGUCUGAUAUUAAUAGUAAAAUCACCCUACUAUGAAUGUAGGGCUAAGGGCUGAAAUCAGAGCAUAGAUUAGGAACCCUGGGAAAGGAGAAGCUAGAUAAAAAGCUAAGAACAGCCACAGAAUGGAGCAGGUUCUGAAAGCUAGGAAUCACAGUUGACCUGGGUCAGGAACUGGGUUUGAGGUCUAGGUGGUCAGAAUCUAGGUAUCAAGAUCAGGAUCUUAGGCAGAGAAACAAGCAACACAAAAUGAGGAGCUGAGGACAAUACUUCAGAGCAGAGCAACCACAGCAGCAGGAAAGUUGAACCCAACUCUACCAAAGACUUCUAGGAGGGAGAUGGAAAACUUUCAGGAAAAGUGAAGACUAUCAGGAAACAGACUAAGGUGAAUGCUGUACACUUUCUCGGAGAAACUCGUGCACUUGGAGAGGAUAUGAAAUAAAACAACUUCAU